UUGGGCCUGGGAGUUUUGGGAGUUCUCCUAAAACAGUAAAUUUGUUUUGGCUUUGGGCCGGACUGGGAAGAGGAGGAAAGGAAGGCCUUAAUUGGGCCAAACUAGUGGGUCCGAAAGGUCUAGCUGUUUGGAGCUGCCUUUCCGAUUUGACAUUCUUGAAUGGGCUAGUCUUUGAUGGCUUCAUGGCCCUGAAGAAAUUCUCGGGUUAGAAAGUCUGGUAGGGAAUUAUUUUCACCUUUAAUAAAAUCAAUUUUGAAAUCAAAGCUAGAUAGGAGAGCUUGCCAUCUAGC
rnacentral:lncRNA from 1 species